rnacentral:rRNA from 1 species
AUUGAACGCUGGCGGCAGGCUUAACACAUGCAAGUCGAGCGGAGAUGAGGUGCUUGCACCUUAUCUUAGCGGCGGACGGGUGAGUAAUGCUUAGGAAUCUGCCUAUUAGUGGGGGACAACAUUCCGAAAGGAAUGCUAAUACCGCAUACGUCCUACGGGAGAAAGCAGGGGAUCUUCGGACCUUGCGCUAAUAGAUGAGCCUAAGUCGGAUUAGCUAGUUGGUGGGGUAAAGGCCUACCAAGGCGACGAUCUGUAGCGGGUCUGAGAGGAUGAUCCGCCACACUGGGACUGAGACACGGCCCAGACUCCGACGGGAGGUAGCAGUGGGGAAUAUUGGACAAUGGGCGGAAGCCUGAUCCAGCCAUGCCGCGUGUGUGAAGAAGGCCUUUUGGUUGUAAAGCACUUUAAGCGAGGAGGAGGCUACCUGGAUUAAUACUCUAGGAUAGUGGACGUUACUCGCAGAAUAAGCACCGGCUAACUCUGUGCCAGCCGCCGCAGUAAUAC